UGCCACCCACACACCUUGCUGUGCAACCCUGAGUCGUGGUUUACAUGUCUGUCUCUCACACUAGAGGCUAGGUGCUACCUGGUGACUAGACCCUUUUCUCAGUCAUCUUUCUGUCCCCAGUGCCUAAGCACAGUGCCUGGCACAUGGCAGGCAUGUGGGAAAUAUUUAAUCAAAUUAGUUAAUAAGCUAAUGAACAUAGGAGUGAUCAAGGGGGUAGAGUCAAGGAUUCUAGGUAGAAAGUGAUGCUUUUAACAUGCUCAAGGAUAUAAGAGGAAGGGCAAGUCUGGGGGAGAAGACAAUGAAUUGGAAUUUAUAGUCUGCUUUGAACUUGAAGUGCUUGCAAGUAUCGCUGACCACCCACUCUCUCCCCCUAGGCAGGUGUCUGCAAGGAGCCAGGGAGAGGGCUUCUUUGACUGCCAGAAGCCGUCUCAGUUGCAGUGCCAAGUCAACUCAUAAACACCACUAAAGGAGAAAGCUCCCCUGUCCGUUAGUCCAAGGACCAGCUCAAGUGGUGAUACAGAUUAGUAAAGAUGACAAGCAAGGAGAAUCUGUAAUCCUGAUUUAUUUGUGCAGACCAGCAAUGCAACCAAGUCAGUGGAAGAAACAACAGGCCUUGCCUCAAGAUGAGCCCAGUUGCAGAGCUCCACAGUGGCUCCAGAGGGAGCCAAAACCCUGAGAGACAUUCUGCCUUCCUGUCCGGAAGAAUGAAGAGAAGGGGCCCUUGUGGUCUGAAAAGCAUAGAGAGAGACAUAGCGAGAGAGCGAACACAAGCAGGGGGAGAGGGAGAGGGAGAAGCAGGCUCCCGCUGAGCAGGAAGCCCGAUGUGGGGCUCGAUCCCAGGACCCUGGGAUCAUGACCUGAGCCAAAGGCAGAUGCUUAACAACCUAGCCACCCAGGUGCCCCUAAACCAGGUAGGUUUGAGCUGUGAGCACACUGCUUUGAUCUGACAGAGAUUUUCUAAAUCGGGCUCAAUUAAGACACCAAGAGAAGAGAGGAGAAGGAAUGUGAC